rnacentral:lncRNA from 1 species
AGCAAUCAAAUCAAUUAUUUGUUUGCAAACAAACAAGCUACUGAUCAUGCAUGUUUGCUGGGUCAGAAAUUCUUUUAUAACUCAAUUCUCAAUAAUCCCAAACAACUAUUUAUCAAUUAUGCAAGUCAAGCGGAUGCUGUCACUGAAUCUUGCUCUUUUUUUGGGUGCAGGUAAUGGAGAACUGUACAACAUGAACGUGCAGGACUAAAUACUGGUAUCUUGAUUUUUACGAUAAACGUUUACCCCUUGUAUAUUUUGUUAUAUAAAAUAUAGGAUUAUAUACUGUAAACUGUAGUUAAUGAUAAAAUUCUCUAUCUCUAAUUCCUUGGUAUCAUCAAAUGCAAUCUCACUUCGAUUACAUAUUCCCAAAACUGACUUUUUGCAGACCCAAUUUCCCCAAGAUACGCAGGAGCAACUUGUAUGAUGGAAAACUAAACCACCCCAUGGUAGAAAACUUAGAAGGAAAGUCUAAAUUGAAAGGAAAGAGGAGUGGCAAAUGAAUCUACUGUUUCUUUGAACUGAUUACAACGAUUCAUGUUUGUGUGAUUCACAAAGUAAGAAAGCCAGAAUCACAUCGUGCGUGCAACUCAUCUUAAUAAUUCUCCACUCCUCUUAAUAAUGGUAUAGCUAGUGAAACAUUUUAUUUGUUAUUUUUUCAAUUUCAAUCCUCACAUGGAACAUGACCUAUAAAUUGUAGGAUGGAUAAAAUUAAGAAAUGGAGUUGAAUUUUCAAAAGUUUGUGAUUUGGAAUUUGGAAGGCAUGCAGUGCCAUGCUGGAGGGCAACUUGCUAAUGCUUUUUUUGAUAUUGACAUCACUACGGUUCCUUCUUGGCUCAUUUUAUAUCCCUUAGUGUGGGUUCUAGCUAGUCCCCUCUAGGGUAAGGGAGAUAUUUGUAUGAAAUUAGGUGUAACUCUAUCGUCACGUAUAUCAUAGAUAUAGACAAAAAUCUAUACAGUCCAUUUCAUUUAAGUUUUAGCUAGAGAUAAAGUCAAAAAUAUUUUAGAAUAAAAUGUGUCCAAAGCGCAAAGCUAGCUAGCGUAUUAAAUCACUUCACAUGUAUUGCUAAAAAUUCUAAUUUGCCUCACCAACACAGUUACCCAUGCCACAAAAUGGCUACAUAUAUAAUCAAAGAAAGUUGAUGGAAGGAAAUCAACAAUUAAACAAACAAACUUACCUGUUACAGUGAGAUGAAUUAAAACCAGGUCCUGAUUGGCAGAUUCCCUUCCAUGAAUUUGGUACGGGCCCCAUUCCUUCAUCCCUAAAGCUCUUUGAUUCUGGCCAGACACCUGAUCAUAAAAUCAACAAACAUCAUCAUCGCAUGCAUCCAAUCAUUCCCCUUCCCUCCACCCAAUAGAGAAUCUAACCUACGACGGGGAUAUCUCUUCACUUCCACAACAAUUUGAUAACUUGGUGCACAACUACAAAAUUAUCUAUUGCUAGCGUCCAAAAAACGGACAAAAAACAUAUAUUACUAUCGAAUAUUAUGCAAAAACCGACAAGAAACACCAUAUAUUUUCUCUCAAUCCUGACACUCACAUAGUGUUGAAGACACAGAAAAACAUACUAUUUGGCACAACAAGUUUUCUCCAUUAAACACAAAGUGAUAUAAUAAUACUGGUGACACAACAUAUCUCCUCAUAGAAUGAGUGCUCUAGUCAUAAAAAGAUAUGAUAUACCACCAAUAAUACAUGCAUGCAUCAGAUUUUUACCACCCCCAGACACACAAACACAAGGAAUCACAUGUGAAACAGUUCAAUGGACAGACAAACUAAUAUAUGAAGUUGUUUGAUAAAAUUGAUGUAUUCUUAAUCUUACCACUAUCAAGAAGCCCAACUAUGAUGUCCUUGCCAAAUCUGGCUUUGGAUAAGAAGUCUCCUCCCAUCUUGCUGUCUAUCCAGUGCCUCUGUUCCUCUUCUAGUAUGCCUGAAAACUCCCAAGACCUUGUGGUGUGCAUAGAGUACUUUUUUGGGUGGCUAGCCCACACAGACACAACUUCUUCCAACUCUGCAGUUACCAUUUAAUUUCUGUAGCAUUACACACACAGAGAGAGAGAGAGAGAGAGAGAGAGAGAGAGAGGAUGUGAUUGGUUUGGUUAAUUACCAGAUAGCUUGGAAGCUUCGUCCUGAGUGAGGACUGCUGCAAAGCCAUUGAUGCUGUGCUUGUAACUGUAAAGCAAAGAAGCUCUGGCAUCUUCUCCUGUUUCUUUCACAGAGAGCAAAUACGAGUGAUGGAUGUCCUCAAUUUCAUGCAGUGCUUUCUCUCCCCUGUGUUCUCCAAAAUACACUAUAUAGACCUAUAGAUACAUACAAACAUGUAUAUAAGUACAAAUACAUGUGUCAUAUAUACAAGAAAAGAUACAUGAAAUGAAAGAAAAAAUAGGUUUAUCAUAGCCAAAAGGAAUGACCUUUUUUGGUUCUGCACAUGAGGCUAAGAGAGGAAGAAGGAGGAGAGAGAGGAUGAAAAUUUUCUCCAUUGGUUUUGUGCUGAGGAGUUUAGUGGAUACAAAUUUUGAACCGAUUAACAGUGUUUAUAUAGAAGUUUAAGAUACAAAUUGAAUCAAAUUCUUCUUUAUUUCUUAUAUGUCAAAAGGUCCCUCCUCGAUUUUAGAGUAGGAACCUAAAUACACGGUAAAAUAUGAUAUCUGAUAUAUGAAAUUUGGUGUGCAGAUGGAUACGCAGUGGACUCUUUUAGACAAUUAAAUUGCUAUUUUUUUUUUUCAGUUAUAUUGAUUUUUUUAUUUAUUUAGUUACAGUUGAUUUUUUUUAAUUUACUUAUUUUGGUUGAGUGAUAAAAAAAGUCAUCAAAGCUUAAUUUGGAUUUUACUAGUAUAUGGACCCACACAUAAAGUGUGUAAAAAUUUUUACUUUUGUUUUUAAAAUUGAAGGAGAGAGGAAGAGAAUAAGAACAAGAAUAUAUUUUUGCAUUCCAUUUUGAUUGACAAAAAGAAUUUCAUUAAUAUGUAUUCAGAUUAUCCUUAAUUUUGUUUAACUUGAUAUGUUUUUUUGAACGUACUGCUCUCAUUAUCUUAUUUAUCCUGCUCCCUUUUUCACCUCUCUUCUCUGUAUAUACUUCCUUAAAUUUUCCUCUUGAUUUAUUUUAAAAUAAAAUAACAAAUAUCUUACCAAUCUGAUAGUUAAUAUCCGUAAGUACAUUGAUAAUUAAAAAGCAUCACGUGGAAACAAAAAAAAUAUUAUUCAACUACUGAAUUCAAUAUAAGAUAAUUACACUAACAUUUUCUACAUUUAUCACCUCAUGUUUAAGAAAUGGAGUAGGAUUCUCUCUCUCUAAAUCUCAUCUCCAUCACUCCCCUUCUCUCUCACUUUGAAAAAAGAAGUAACACUAACACUUCCUAAAGUUUUAAUUCACUUUCACAUCAUUCAUUUAAGAAUGAAUUUACCCAUGUAUUUAACUACUUAAAUAAUAAACAAAAUAUGGCAAGUCAGAUUAAUGGUCCUUGUGGUAAUAGGCUAUUCGCAAGAUUAUCCAUAUGGUAGAAUAAUUAAGAUUUAAACCCUUAUAGUGAAAAACAUUAACAAAUUUAAUCGAAGUGAGAUUUCCAUCAAAUCUUCGUUAGAUGCAAGGAUAAAAAUGUCCAGCCACACUCAUUUUUGUGUUUACCUUUGUCUUUUACUACUUCAUCUCUCUCUCAUAAAUUGAAACACUCUGUCUUCAUGUUCGUGAUCUAAAUUCCUGAGAUUGAAUCCUUCCCUUCCUUUCUUAUCCAUCCUUCACCUUCAUCAUCCCCAGUUUUCACAACUCAUUUCACCUUAGUCCAGAAAUUCAAAUUCACUAUUCAGAUUUAUUACAGAUUCACAAUUCAAAAUCAUAUAACUUCAAAUUCCAUUCUUUUCAAAAUGUGCUCGCACCCUUCACCUGCUCCAUCAGAUUAAUUUCAGUACCGAAGUCAAUUAGAUUUAAUCUGCAUUCGUAAAAAUUAAUCACAGCAAUCUGAAUAAAGUUUUACUUGAAGAUAAUAUUCAUAUGUUCUAGAGUCAUAUGUGUCACACUUCCUGCACUUCUGAUCGCUGGUGAAGCGCAAAUAAUUGUGUCUCAAAUUUCUUUCCCUUGUUCUUUGUUUUUGCAGUUAUUGGGUCACAUAUUUCUUCAUUCUUUUAUGUGUUUGCAUGGAAAAAAAAUCAUCCCAAGCAAAUAUGCCAUUAAUUUGUUAAAAAACAAAGAAGAAUAUUUCAAUCAUUAAAUGAUUUCUUCUUUACAAACGAUAGCGUUAGUGAAUUAAAUAAUUAGUUGUUAGGAGAAAAAAUAAUUGGUGGGAAUCAAACCCGCACUAUAGUACAUAAACUUGAUUGCUUUCGAUGGAAAACGCCCUUGCGAAUCAUUAAAUGAUGAAAAAGACAAAAGAAAAACACCUGCAAUUGAAGAUUUAUUGUUUUUGCAUAUGGACAUAUUAACUGUUCAUGAUGUCAGUGUUGAGCUUAAUAUGCCCAACUAUAGCAAUCAUAAUCGAUAGGAAAAGAAUAUUGUCUUCGUGGGUCCAAAUAAUAUCAAGCAAAAUAAGUAUUGUUCAUUUCACCAAAGUAAGAAGUGGCAACUCACCAAGUAGAGUGCUUAGGCCCUGGGGGCAGUUCCACAUAUGGUUAAGGGUGGGGUUGGAUACAUGGAAGAGAGUGGGGAUUGAUUGGGAUAUCAUUUGUAUUUUGUGCACAAGUCUAAAUUAGUACUAACGUAUUUGUGGGCUUAAGGGGGAUCCCGAUUUCAAACGCAUGACGUAAGGGCAUAACUAAUCGUCAAUUUUCCUGGUUUUUGGUUCAACCUAUAAGUAACUGUUUAUAUCACAACAUUGUCCACCUUCUGUUGGCCCAUGCUUACAACUGUAUAUCCCAUUUGCAAAUACAAAUUUAUUCUCCCAUGCCUCAUGUUUCUUCUUACCACCACACAUUGUCUUUGAACUUUUUUUUCCAAAAUUUUCAACACAUAUAGGGCCUUUUGAUUUGUGUGUAUAUAUGCUGCAAGUGCAAGACUUCUAAUUUCACUCCUCUUGAAAUUAUUUAAGUAUUUAAGGGAUUGUGGGCAAGAAUGCGUGCAUGCAUGAGAAAGACGCGGUACGUCCAUUUCACGAAUGUCAAAUGGUGGGCUGCUCUACUAUGGGAUUGUGGUCCUUAAUCUAAUCAAUCAGAAUUUUUCUUAGUUCAUUUAAAGUUAAUUACCCAAUGAGCUGUAUCAUUAAUUAUCUUUAAUAGUUUCUAAUUUACUCUAGCAUACAACAAAAUGGAUUCAAAUUGGAUAAGAAAGCAGAAACAUAGCCCUAAUUAAGUGGCUUAACCCAUAUCUGAAUGGUUGAUGCUAGAUGAAAAAGCCGUAAAGUUGCUAAUUGCUAAUUAACCAUAAAUAUACAAUGAAAAAUAACAAUAACAAUACCAUGCAAUCUGAAUCUCAUUCACUUGAGCAGUAGAUAUAAAGUUAGGCUUGUAUACAAUCAACUUCAUCAGGAACCCUCAGCCAUCUCUUUUAAGAGAAUGACAACGUCGUCUGAUGUAAUCUUCCCGUGAGCAGGGACACCUCCUGUAUAGGCUUAUGAACCCAACUGCAUCCCAACUAUCGUGGGAUCGUCAAAGCCUAAAAAAUCUCCACGUUUGUCAGUUGUUAAACCACAACUGAAGCACGCAUUUAGUGUCCUACAAAUAAGGGAUUUUAUCCUUUAAAUGGUUUUGACUUUAAUUAAUUAAUUCCACGUUAGUCCUUAUUAUGCUCAGUGACAAUUCAAUAGAGUCCUAACAUAUAGAACUUAGGACUUGCAGUGCACUAUGUUUGUAUGUGACCCCACCACCAACAUUGCUCAAUUUCUAAGUGAAUUGGUAUUUUGUGAGUUUACUAUAAUUAGAGUCCAAAAGACUUCUUCUUUCUUGAUUUAAUGCAUGAAAUAAGAUUUUUUUAAUUUUAUUUUAUGCAAAUUGGAUUGGAAAUUUCGAUCAGACUGGAAAAAUUCAGUUUUGAAUCCAUAACAUCUCCAAUCAGAAUAUUUAUAGAAAUUGAAAUGUAUUUUAAAAAUUCGAAAAUUUUCAAAAUAUAAUCCAAUUUUAUACGAAAUUUGCCAAACUAAUAGGAUCUCAAUUUUUUGAGACACUCCCUCUAUGGCAACCCGGCGUAUUCAUUUCAUGUAAGUCUCGUUUGAAAAACAUACUCGUCACCGGCAAUAAUUUGAAUGAAUUGAUUACACUCUCUUUGCAUGCCAAGCAGUGUUAAGGCCGCACAUAAUACUAUUGGGCAAGCAAAUAAAGCCCAAUAGCUUAAAGUUUCUUUUGUGCUCAUCACCAGCCCACAAACCUUCCCUUCAAAUUGGACUUCGGUCCCCCACGUCACCAACAUGGGACCCACCCUUCGCUCGGUGAAAACGAAGAAAAUUUUAAUUGUGACGGAAACACAAGUGGUACACCACGUGUUUUAAUAUGAAUGGUGAGAAAUUGUAUUUUUUAAGAUAUUAACUUUUUAGCACACAUAUCUCAAAAUUUGUUUAGUGACAAGUAAUGUACCAUCCCGUAUACCGAUCAUAUUGAAAAAUCUCUUUUGAAAGGAGAAAAGAUCUUCUUUGAAUCUCUUCGUCUUAAUUCUUAUUACGCACAAAUUCAAACUUUUGAAAUUUAAUUCAACUGCUAAAAACAAAAUUCUCAUUAAAAAUUAUAAUAAUUUUAACGUUGAAUCAAAUUUUAGGAGACAG